UUUUCUCAAUCAAAUUUUGUAGGUCGGAAUAUACAAAGUUGUUUGUUGUUGUUUAUUUAUGUAUCAAUUUCUAUUGUUGCGGGUGUUUGGAAAGGUCUACACUUCUUUAUAAAACAUGGGAUCCAUGGUAAUAUUUUCUUUGUGAAGAUAACUUUUUUUCUUAUUUAGAAUUAUGCAUAUAAGUUGUUUAAUGAAAGUCCUGUUAGAACAUGAAAGUCUUAUGAAAAAUCGUAUGGUGUAGGUAUAAGGUUUAAGUUAAUAAUAUGAAUCAUUACACUCCUAUGUCGGUAUAAGGUUUAACUUACUAAUAUGAAUCAUUAAAUUCCAUUUUGAUUAAAAAAUGUAUAAAGUAAUUAAGAACUUUGUGGGAAAAAGAUAAUUUAUUCUUUUGUAUUAUUCCAUUUCAGUACCUAUGGAGAAAAAUGUUUUUAAAUACCAUUAUUUAAGUGAAAUAACACCUGAAGGACGUAGGAUUACAAAGCUUGAUCAGAUUUUGCUCAAUGGAAAUAACAUAGCAAUUCUGGUUCCUCGUGGUUCUCCAGAUCCAGAAUGAUCGAAGAUUUUUUGAUAUUGACAGAUAGGGGUAAUUUAGGAUUCUUUGAAGAUAUUGGUAGAUAUUUUUUUAUCACAACAUCUUCAAUCACCAGAGUGUACAGAGGCAUGAUGGAUCAUCUUCUAUUGUUUAGUGAACUCCUAUUUUCAUUUGUCAAACAAUGAAAAUACAUAAACUUUUUGAACUAUUUUCCAUUUAUUUUCAGGAAUGAUCAUUCAAAAUAUAAUGGUUUAAUAGGAAAAAAGUUAAGAAAUUAGUUUUUUCUGAAAGUACAA